AAUCAAAGGAGCUGCCUGAAGAGCUCAGAGACAGAAUUGUGGCAAGGCACAGAUCUCACCAAGACGCUGUGACUGCAGCCCGAAAAGAUGCAGGUUUAUCUGGCCCGUUCCAGCUGAAUAGCCCAGCCACCCCAGAGCGGGCAUGUCUGGCCUGUGCCACACACUUUACAAAGAUGGUUGCACAAAGUGGAGCAAGUU